UCCCUGGUGGCUCAGAGAUUAAAGCAUCUGCCUGCAGUGUGGAAGACCUAGGUUCGAUCCCUGGGUCGGGAA
rfam:Ovis aries breed Texel chromosome 9, whole genome shotgun sequence.